AGACCAGUGAGGAUGCAACAGGAAAAAGGACUUCCUAUGAUUUCCUCAGUGCACUUGUGCUGCAGCUCUGCUCCAGGCUGGGAUGGUCGGGUUCCCUUGCAUCCAUCUGACGUAGUGGCAUCUCAAAGGCUGUGGGCAGUUUGUAGCUUAGGGAAAAGAGAAAACUGCAGUACCAGUUCAUUUGUGGGAAGAUCAGAGGAGCAGCACCAUGGCCAUGUCUACGUGCCUUGGAGGGAUCUGCUGUGCUGUACAACCAGUGCGUUUCCUCUGCUGAUAUACGGAGCUUAUAUGCACGUACAGGUAUGCCUCACUGUCACAAAGAUCGUAAAAGGAAUGGGGCAUCUAAUGCCCCAG